GAUGAACGCUGGCGGCGUGCUUAACACAUGCAAGUCGAACGAUGAAGCUCAGCUUGCUGGGUGGAUUAGUGGCGAACGGGUGAGUAACACGUGAGUAACCUGCCCUUAACUCUGGGAUAAGCCUGGGAAACUAGGUCUAAUACCGGAUAGGAGCGCCUACCGCAUGGUGGGUGUUGGAAAGAUUUAUCGGUUUUGGAUGGACUCGCGGCCUAUCAGCUUGUUGGUGAGGUAAUGGCUCACCAAGGCGACGACGGGUAGCCGGCCUGAGAGGGUGACCGGCCACACUGGGACUGAGACACGGCCCAGACUCCUACGGGAGGCAGCAGUGGGGAAUAUUGCACAAUGGGCGAAAGCCUGAUGCAGCGACGCCGCGUGAGGGAUGACGGCCUUCGGGUUGUAAACCUCUUUCAGUAGGGAAGAAGCGAAAGUGACGGUACCUGCAGAAGAAGCACCGGCUAACUACGUGCCAGCAGCCGCGGUAAUACGUANGGUGCGAGCGUUAUCCGGAAUUAUUGGGCGUAAAGAGCUCGUAGCGGUUUGUCGCGUCUGUCGUGAAAGUCCGGGGCUUAACCCCGGAUCUGCGGUGGGUACGGGCAGACUAGAGUGCAGUAGGGGAGACUGGAAUUCCUGGUGUAGCGGUGGAAUGCGCAGAUAUCAGGAGGAACACCGAUGGCGAAGGCAGGUCUCUGGGCUGUAACUGACGCUGAGGAGCGAAAGCAUGGGGAGCGAACAGGAUUAGAUACCCUGGUAGUCCAUGCCGUAAACGUUGGGCACUAGGUGUGGGGACCAUUCCACGGUUUCCGCGCCGCAGCUAACGCAUUAAGUGCCCCGCCUGGGGAGUACGGCCGCAAGGCUAAAACUCAAAGGAAUUGACGGGGGCCCGCACAAGCGGCGGGGCAUGCGGAUUAAUUCGAUGCAACGCGAAGAACCUUACCAAGGCUUGACAUGUUCUCGAUCGCCGUAGAGAUACGGUUUCCCCUUUGGGGCGGGUUCACAGGUGGUGCAUGGUUGUCGUCAGCUCGUGUCGUGAGAUGUUGGGUUAAGUCCCGCAACGAGCGCAACCCUCGUUCCAUGUUGCCAGCACGUAAUGGUGGGGACUCAUGGGAGACUGCCGGGGUCAACUCGGAGGAAGGUGAGGACGACGUCAAAUCAUCAUGCCCCUUAUGUCUUGGGCUUCACGCAUGCUACAAUGGCCGGUACAAUGGGUUGCGAUACUGUGAGGUGGAGCUAAUCCCAAAAAGCCGGUCUCAGUUCGGAUUGGGGUCUGCAACUCGACCCCAUGAAGUCGGAGUCGCUAGUAAUCGCAGAUCAGCAACGCUGCGGUGAAUACGUUCCCGGGCCU
rnacentral:rRNA from 1 species